rfam:Synechococcus sp. RCC307 genomic DNA sequence.
GACUCGGACCCAUGCGGCUCCGACGCCUAAACCUGGUCAGAUCCGGAAGGCAGCAGCCACACGGGAUGCUCGAGGCAGGCGUGGACUCCGGGUCACC